rnacentral:tRNA from 1 species
GGAGCUGUGCCUGAAGUAAAGGGCCACUUUGAUAGAGUGAACCAUGGGGGUUAAAAUCCCCCCAACUCCU